rnacentral:rRNA from 1 species
UAGAGUUUGAUCCUGGCUCAGAACGAACGCUGGCGGCAGGCUUAACACAUGCAAGUCGAGCGCCACUUCGGUGGGAGCGGCAGACGGGUGAGUAACACGUGGGAAUCUACCCAUCUCUACGGAACAACUCCGGGAAACUGGAGCUAAUACCGUAUACGCCCUUUGGGGGAAAGAUUUAUCGGAGAUGGAUGAGCCCGCGUUGGAUUAGCUAGUUGGUGGGGUAAAGGCCUACCAAGGCGACGAUCCAUAGCUGGUCUGAGAGGAUGAUCAGCCACACUGGGACUGAGACACGGCCCAGACUCCUACGGGAGGCAGCAGUGGGGAAUAUUGGACAAUGGGCGCAAGCCUGAUCCAGCCAUGCCGCGUGAGUGAUGAAGGCCCUAGGGUUGUAAAGCUCUUCCACCGGUGAAGAUAAUGACGGUAACCGGAGAAGAAGCCCCGGCUAACUUCGUG